AUCUGGUCCAAGUCUCCGAUGCCAUGCCAUUCGGUGUUUGCUCAUGGGUUUGGGAGUUGCUAUGUGGAUCCAAUCUUGACCCUCUCCUGCUCCACUUUCCAGGUCUGGAACUUCCCUCAACUCACUUCCUGUAAGUGUUUACUUACUACAGAACUCUGCUAGCUUCCUAACUUGAUGGCAGCCGGUAAGAAGUCACCUCUACUCCCAACUAUGAUGCUAUGAUUGGGAAUAUGUAAAAUUUCAGUGUUUCUCAAAGGCAUCUGAUUUCAGGACUGUAGUCACUGUUUUAGCGCCUAGGCAUAAUGAUAGUUACUGAAUAAGCCACCACUGGCCUCUAAUAGAAUGGUUUUAUGUGACAGAAUGACAUAUAAAGUUGAGGUCUGUGGGCUUUUUAUUUUAAUUUUUUAGUUUCCUUCCUCCCACCCUCCCUCUCACUCUCCCUCCAUCCCUUCAUUCAUUCCUUCAUUCCUUCCUUCUUUCCUUCCUUCAUUUUGUCCUUCCUUUUAGUGGCUUAAACCAAGGCAUGUGUUUUCCAGAACACUUACUUUUCCUUUGUUCUGUGCUCACUCUCUCUGCCCUUGGCUUUCUUUCCACCUAGGCUUUCUCUAUUCAAUUGUCUAAGUUCUCUAUUUUAAAUUCCAGGCUCCAUCUGAGGGUUCCCAAACCCACACAGCCUGCAUCACACAAAGGAAGGCUCUUUCUUCUUAAGCCUUUCUAGAAGUACUUCUUGGAGAUAGUAGCUUUUGGUGGGUGACAAUGCUCUGCUACCUUCCAAGACCCUGAGUCCUUCUUCUUACUUCUUCAUUUAUUAUCUGUGGUCCUUUGGAAAACGGAAGGUUUCCUCUUCUGUAAAAUGGAUAACAUAUGUGUCACCUGUCACAUAGACACUUAAAGAAAGAUCCCAAAGCAACUACUGUAUGAAGCGUAUUUUGCAAAACUGUCAGAGCCAGAACAAGAAUAAGGCUUAGGUGAGCCUAGUAGAGGCUGUUGUAGGAGAGUAAUUAAGAGUUCAAGGCCACCCUUAGCUGUAUAGAAAGUCCUUGUCUUAAGGAAAAAGAAAGGGAAAAAUGAUUAGAGAAGAAAAGAAGGCAUGAGUUUUGGAGUUCCAGUAGCAAAAUUCCUUAAGGCCAGUAGUUUAGCCUUGAGUACAUGUCUCCUGUAACUCUCUCUAGCCAUACCAAUACCUGCUUCCUACUCUAGGAAUCUUGAGUGUUGAUUUUGUGGUGGGGCUCAGCUGUACACUUUGUUUUCCCUUGCUAAAUUCUCCAGAUGUUUCUAGAGGGGACUCUAGAUUAGACUCCCUGCUGUGAGAUUUCUGGAAUAAAUCUUGCAAUUUGGUUAAAAUCGGGAUCAGGUACAUAAAGUUCAUGAGGAAAUGUCAUUGACAAGAAGAGCUGACUUCUAGUCAAUCAUACCAUAAUAAUAGCAGAGAUAUUGAACACCCCUUUCAUAGUUGGGAGUUCUAAUGCAAGAAUGAAAUUACUGCACUCACCUAACUUUUACAAUCGUUUUUCACAUUAACGAGCCUUAGAAGUCAGUUUUGUGGAGCUCCAAUUACUGAAAGGGCUGUGCAAGUAUGAUACCAUACAUCACCAGAAAAUAUAAUAACUCUGUUUCAAAGAGGGCUUCGGUAAUAAAAUUAUCAUAAACAACGUGAUUCAGUUAUGCCACAAAACAUCCAGUGAUUAAAAACUUCUAUUCCUGCAGCUCCACGGUUUAGAUUCAAUCCACUUUCAUUUUGCACCAUUGCUAAUUGUAUUGUUUGAGGAUUCAAUGAUAUGUAAAAUAUAAAGCGCCAACCUAAAACUAAAUGUAUAUCUACUCUAGGAUGUUUCCAUUUGCUACUUAAUUUGAAUAAAUUUGAUGACUGUUGGAUAGUUGCUAAGAAGAAUUAGUUUUAAAACAUUUGGGACUAUUUUCUCUCAAAAAGAUGCUUAAAAUAGACAAGUGCUUAAAGUUAGAAACAUUUAUGCCCUGGCCUCCCAUGGAUUCUAGAAUAAAACUUUUCUGUAAAUGACUGUGAUGCUGAGCAGAGGAAACCUCCAAGUGGGGCAUUGAAUCCAGGAGACAUUAGUGAUUUUCCCAAAGUCACACAGUUAAUUAGUCACACCUCUUAGGUCUGAAACUUCUGUCUCUUUCUGGGGAAGCUUGAUAAAUGUCAACUGGAUUUCACAUAGGAUGGACCUUGGACUUGAUUUGUAAUGUUUGGCUCAUUUCAGGUCAAAACUAUACUAGAAGUUCUUGGAGAAUCUGUCUUGGAUGUGUCCAAACAUGCCACAGCUAAUUAGUAGGAAAUCUCUUCAUUAUUAUUUGAGGUCUUUUGAGAAGUUUCAAAGUCUCCGUAGACUGUAGAGUUUAAAUAGUGGGGUGUGAUUAAGGCUUCCAUAGUAUUCUUGGCAGAAAUGGCUUUAGUGACAUUAAUUUGUAGGGACUUGAGGUCACAGCGAAUGGCUAGCCAAUGACAAUUACAAGCAUUGUUAGGGAGCUGAGACAUAUAUUCUCACUCCUUGCACAUGUGAUGUCACUAGUAUUCUUAAAAGUUCAACCUUCAUAUUAACCAGGAUGAUUAUUAUUAUGCCAAUAACCGCAUGCUUUCAGAUAUGUUAUCCUGACAGCUUGUACUUUGUUCCUGGUAAGUACCAAUAUCCCAGCUCCUGAGCCAGUCUGCAUAGCCAAGUCCCACUUGUUACAAUAUCCAAUUGUAAUGAGUUGAUAGAAGGGAUUACACUCAUGGACAAAGGUAGAAACAAUAGUCAGCUCUGAAGCACAUCCUCUCCAAUUGCUUGUCUCUGUUAAAAUGGAAUAUGUGAUGUCUGGCAAAAUUGUGGGAAGACUAAUAAAAGCAUGGGGCUGGGGAAAUGAGGAGUGGUUUUAAAAUCCAAGUAUUUGAAAAUGCAAUGUUACCAUUGAAGAAACUGAACACCUUUUAUCACUAUAAAUUAUAUCCAUUAAUUUUCUAAUUUGGGGGAAUAAAAUACCUGACAAGAGCAACUUAACGAAAGUGUUUGGGGUGGCUUACAGUCUGAGGGAAGGCGGGGCAGGAGUGUGAGGCAGCUGGUUGCACUGCUUCUGGAGUCAGGAAGCACAGACAGACAAAUCCUAGCACCCCACCCACUUUCUCCUUUUUAUUCAGCCUGGGGCCCACACUUGAGGUGUGUCUUCUCUCCUCAGUCACACUUUUCUGGAAGUACCCUCAGAGAGAAGACACCUUGGGAAGCGUUUCCAUGGUGAUUCGAGAUCCCCCCUUCAGUUGACUGUGGAGUUUCACUGUCAGACCAAGUUUGAGAUUUUUUUUUUUUUUGAACAUCAGGUUGUAAGGGAAAUUAAUUCAGAGUACACACCGAGCUGUGUGAAAUCCAAGGUCUAUUCCAAGUUAUGCUUCUAGUGUCUUAACUAUCAAAGAGAAGACACUCUUCUGGCCUUUAGUGUGUCUCAGGCUCUUCAGUUUUCAAAGCCUGGCUGCAUAGCCCUGCAGGUUUCAGGGGAAUGUAUGCCCAUCUCCUCUUAGGAGUUUAAUGUAGAUGACAGCUGCCAAUGGGCUCUGCCUGAGGCUGGUGUCUUCUCAAAAAGAGCCAGCUAGCCUAGGUUUUAAUGUUGCCGUCUUCUAUCUUCUUUGCCCUGACAGAAUUGUGCCAGUUUUCAAUGAAUUCUUUUGAUUUGGGUUUCCCUCUGACAGAGAUGGCAAUGUAGAGUGUCACCAUGACCAUGAAGGAUUAUUAGUAGUUUUAUGUAAGCUUUGUUAAUCAUCUGUCUUCUGGCCCAGUCUCCAAAGGCUUGUUUCAGACUCCCAGGGAGAAGAGGCUCUCACAAAGUAUGAUCCAAGGAAAGCUUAUCCACAUGGACUAGACCCCUGGCCAGGUGGUGUUGUUGCCUAGUAACAGUGUUCAACCUUAAGAACUCAAAGGUAGACAGAGAACAGCUACAACCGUGCUUUCUGUGUGGCAGCUGGCUAUAAGCUUGAGUCUCUGGGCUCAGUCAGGAGAACUGCUUAUGAAGGGAAGCAAUAACUGCUAUCAGUCUGCAAGUUCACAUGUACAGGACAGCAGAAAUGGUAGAGAACACACC
rnacentral:lncRNA from 1 species